UAAAGCGCGCGUAGGUGGUUGUUAAGUUGGAUGUGAAAUCCCCGGGCUCAACCUGGGAACUGCAUUCAAAACUGACUGACUAGAGUAUGGUAGAGGGUGGUGGAAUUUCCUGUGUAGCGGUGAAAUGCGUAGAUAUAGGAAGGAACACCAGUGGCGAAGGCGACCACCUGGACUGAUACUGACACUGAGGUGCGAAAGCGUGGGGAGCAAACAGGAUUAGAUACCCUAGU
rnacentral:rRNA from 1 species